CGCGGAGUGGAGCAGUUGGUAGCUCGCCAGGCUCAUAACCUGGAGGUCAUAGGUUCGAGUCCUGUCUCCGCAA
rnacentral:tRNA from 1 species